rnacentral:rRNA from 1 species
UACGAAGGGGGCUAGCGUUGUUCGGAAUUACUGGGCGUAAAGCGCGCGUAGGCGGAUUUUUAAGUCAGAGGUGAAAUCCCGGGGCUCAACCCCGGAACUGCCUUUGAUACUGGGAAUCUAGAGUAUGGUAGAGGUGAGUGGAAUACCGAGUGUAGAGGUGGAAUUCGUAGAUAUUCGGUAGAACACCAGUGGCGAAGGCGGCUCACUGGACCAUUACUGACGCUGAGGUGCGAAAGCGUGGGGAGCAAACAGG